rnacentral:misc_RNA from 1 species
GAUGAAGAACGUAGCGAAAUGCGAUAAGUAAUGUGAAUUUCAGAAUUCAGUGAAUCAUCGAAUCUUUGAACGCACCUUGCGCCUUUUGGUAUUCCGAAAGGCACACCUGUUUGAGCGUCAUGAAUACCUCAAUCUCCAUCUUUUCUUCGGAUUGAUGGGUGACUUGGAUGUUGAGCCCUGCUGGUAUGCUAUAUCAGCUGGCUUUAAACUUAUUAGCCGGCUCUGUACUGGAUCGGUUUGACUCGACGUGAUAAUAUUAUCGUUGAGGAUGCAUGUCUCAUGCAGCCGGAAAGUAUCAAAGCAGCUUCUAGCUUGCCUUUAGUGCACUUUUACAUUUUAGACCUCAGAUCAGGUGGGACUACCCGCUGAACUUAAGCAUAUCAAUAAGCGGAGGA